rnacentral:rRNA from 1 species
GAUUAAGUUAUUAAGGGCGCACGGUGGAUGCCUUGGCACUAGAAGCCGAUGAAGGACGUUACUAACGACGAUAUGCUUUGGGUAGCUGUAAGUAAGCGUUGAUCCAGAGAUUUCCGAAUGGGGGAACCCAGCAUGAGUUAUGUCAUGUUAUCGACAUGUGAAUUCAUAGCAUGUCAGAAGGCAGACCCGGAGAACUGAAACAUCUUAGUACCCGGAGGAAGAGAAAGAAAAAUCGAUUCCCUGAGUAGCGGCGAGCGAAACGGGAAGAGCCCAAACCAACAAGCUUGCUUGUUGGGGUUGUAGGACACUCUAUACGGAGUUACAAAAGAACAUGUUAGACGAAUCAUCUGGAAAGAUGAAUCAAAGAAGGUAAUAAUCCUGUAGUCGAAAACAUAUUCUCUCUUGAGUGGAUCCUGAGUACGACGGAGCACGUGAAAUUCCGUCGGAAUCUGGGAGGACCAUCUCCUAAGGCUAAAUACUCUCUAGUGACCGAUAGUGAACCAGUACCGUGAGGGAAAGGUGAAAAGUACCCCGGAAGGGGAGUGAAAGAGAACUUGAAACCGUGUGCUUACAAGUAGUCAGAGCCCGUUAAUGGGUGAUGGCGUGCCUUUUGUAGAAUGAACCGGCGAGUUACGAUCUGAUGCAAGGUUAAGCAGCAAAUGUGGAGCCGCAGCGAAAGCGAGUCUGAAUAGGGCGUUGAGUAUUUGGUCGUAGACCCGAAACCAGGUGAUCUACCCUUGGUCAGGUUGAAGUUCAGGUAACACUGAAUGGAGGACCGAACCGACUUACGUUGAAAAGUGAGCGGAUGAACUGAGGGUAGCGGAGAAAUUCCAAUCGAACUUGGAGAUAGCUGGUUCUCUCCGAAAUAGCUUUAGGGCUAGCCUCAAGUGAUGAUUAUUGGAGGUAGAGCACUGUUUGGACGAGGGGCCCCUCUCGGGUUACCGAAUUCAGACAAACUCCGAAUGCCAAUUAAUUUAACUUGGGAGUCAGAACAUGGGUGAUAAGGUCCGUGUUCGAAAGGGAAACAGCCCAGACCACCAGCUAAGGUCCCAAAAUAUAUGUUAAGUGGAAAAGGAUGUGGCGUUGCCCAGACAACUAGGAUGUUGGCUUAGAAGCAGCCAUCAUUUAAAGAGUGCGUAAUAGCUCACUAGUCGAGUGACACUGCGCCGAAAAUGUACCGGGGCUAAACAUAUUACCGAAGCUGUGGAUUGUCCUUUGGACAAUGGUAGGAGAGCGUUCUAAGGGCGUCGAAGCAUGAUCGCAAGGACAUGUGGAGCGCUUAGAAGUGAGAAUGCCGGUGUGAGUAGCGAAAGACGGGUGAGAAUCCCGUCCACCGAUUGACUAAGGUUUCCAGAGGAAGGCUCGUCCGCUCUGGGUUAGUCGGGUCCUAAGCUGAGGCCGACAGGCGUAGGCGAUGGAUAACAGGUUGAUAUUCCUGUACCACCUAGUAUCGUUUUAAUCGAUGGGGGGACGCAGUAGGAUAGGCGAAGCGUGCUGUUGGAGUGCACGUCCAAGCAGUAAGGCUGAGUGUUAGGCAAAUCCGGCACUCAUAAGGCUGAGCUGUGAUGGGGAGAGGAAAUUGUUUCCUCGAGUCGUUGAUUUCACACUGCCGAGAAAAGCCUCUAGAUAGAUAACAGGUGCCCGUACCGCAAACCGACACAGGUAGUCAAGAUGAGAAUUCUAAGGUGAGCGAGCGAACUCUCGUUAAGGAACUCGGCAAAAUGACCCCGUAAC